GGAUAUAUAGCUCAGUUGUUAGAGUGCUUGCUUCACAUGCACAAGGCCCUGGGUUCAAUCCCCAGCACCCCCC
rnacentral:tRNA from 1 species